GGUUGUCUUAGUCGACUAGACAUGCGAGUCGACGACCCCUAGCCAUGAAGGGGGCGUGGCAUACGGCUCAGUAACACGUGGCUAACCUACCCUCGAGACAGGGACAACCCCGGGAAACUGGGGCUAAUCCCAGAUAGAUGAGAACUCCUGGAAUGGGUUCUCGUCCAAAAGGCACCAAGAUCAUGCUUCUUGGCGUCGCUCAAGGAUGGGGCCGCGACCGAUCAGGCUGUUGGUGAGGCAACGGCUCACCAAACCUUUAACCGGUACGGGCCGUGGGAGCGGGUGCCCGGAGAUGGGAACUGAGACAAGGUCCCAGGCCCUACGGGGCGCAGCAGUUACGAAAACUUGUCAAUGCACGAAAGUGUGAACGGGCUACCCCGAGUGCCGUCCGCUGAGGAUGGCUUUUCUCUGCUGUAAGGAAGCGGAGGAAUAAGGCGAGGGCAAGUCUGGUGUCAGCCGCCGCGGUAAUACCAGCUCGCCGAGUGGUAGGGAUGAUUAUUGGGCUUAAAGCGUCCGUAGCCGGCCUCUCAAGUCUCUCGUUAAAUCCAGCGAUUCAAUCGUUGGACUGCGGGAGAUACUGUGAGGCUAGGGGGCGGGAGAAGCCGACGGUAUUUCCGGGGUAGGGGUAAAAUCCUAUAAUCCCGGGAAGACCACCAGUGGCGAAGGCGGUCGGCUAGCACGCGCUCGACGGUGAGGGACGAAAGCUGGGGGAGCGAACCGGAUUAGAUACCCGGGUAGUCCCAGCUGUAAACGAUGCGGGCUAGGUGUUGGAGCGGCUACGAGCCGCUUCAGUGCCGCAGGGAAGCCAUUAAGCCCGCCGCCUGGGGAGUACGGCCGCAAGG
rnacentral:rRNA from 1 species